UACGGAGGGUGCAAGCGUUGUCCGGAUUUAUUGGGCGUAAAGAGCUCGUAGGCGGCUUGUUGCGUCGACCGUGAAAACCCGGGGCUCAACUUCGGGCUUGCGGUCGAUACGGGCGGGCUAGAGUUCGGUAGGGGAGACUGGAAUUCCUGGUGUAGCGGUGAAAUGCGCAGAGUAUCAGGAGGAACACCGGUGGCGAAGGCGGGGUCUCUGGGCUGAUACUGACGUGGAGGAGCGAAAGCGUGGGGAGCGAACAGG
rnacentral:rRNA from 1 species